rnacentral:tRNA from 1 species
GUGGGUAUAGCUCAGUGGUAGAGUGCAUGCUUAGCAUGCAUGAGGUCCUGGGUUCAAUUCCCAGUAUCUCCA